rnacentral:rRNA from 1 species
AACGAACGCUGGCGGCAUGCCUAACACAUGCAAGUCGAACGAGACCUUCGGGUCUAGUGGCGCACGGGUGCGUAACGCGUGGGAACCUGCCCUUAGGUUCGGAAUAACUCCCCGAAAGGGGUGCUAAUACCGGAUCAUGUCUUCCGACCAAACAGUUAUCGCCCUUGGAUGGGCCCGCGUUGUAUUAGCUAGUGGUUAGGGUAAAAGCCUACCAAGGCGACGAUCCAUAGCUGGUAUGAGAGGAUGAUCAGCGACACUGGGACUGAGACACGGCCCAGAAUCUUACGGGAGGCAGCAGUGGGGAAUAUUGGAAAAUCGGCGGAAGCAUGAUGCAGUAAUGACGCGUGAGUGAUGAAGGCUGUAGGGUUGUAAAGCUAUUUUACACGGGAUGAUAAUGACAGUACCGGCAGAAUAAGCUCCGGCUAACUCCGUG